UUCCUACGGGAGGCAGCAGUCGGGAAUUUUGCUCAAUGGGGGAAACCCUGAAGCAGCAACGCCGCGUGAGGGAUGAAGGCCUUCGGGUUGUAAACCUCUUUUCUCAGGGACGAUAAUGACGGUACCUGAGGAAUAAGCCACGGCUAACUACGUGCCAGCAGCCGCGGUAAUACGUAGGUGGCAAGCGUUGUCCGGAUUUACUGGGCGUAAAGAGCGCGCAGGCGGUCAGAUAAGUCGAAUGUGAAAGCCCCCGGCUCAACUGGGGAAGGUCAUUCGAUACUGUUUGACUUGAAGAUGGGAGAGGGAAGCGGAAUUUCAGGUGUAGUGGUGAAAUGCGUAGAUAUCUGAAGGAACACCAGUGGCGAAGGCGGCUUUCUGGCCCAUUCUUGACGCUGAGGCGCGAAAGCUAGGGGAGCGAACGGGAUUAGAUACCCCGGUAGUCCUAGCCGUAAACGAUGAACACUAGAUGUUGGUGGUAUCAACCCCGCCAGUGUCGCAGCUAACGCAUUAAGUGUUCCGCCUGGGGAGUACGGCCGCAAGGCUAAAACUCAAAUGAAUUGACGGAA
rnacentral:rRNA from 1 species